GCAAAGGUAGCAUAAUCAUUAGUUCUUUAAUUGUGAUCUGGUAUGAAUGGCUUGACGAGGCAUAUACUGUCUUAGAAGUAUUGUUUGUUGAAUUUAGUUUUUGAGUUAAAAUUCUUAGAUGUUUUUAUGGGACGAGAAGACCCUAUAGAGUUUAACAUUUAUUUUUAUUAUAAUUUGUUGUUUGUUUUUAUUUUUAAUUGGGUUAAGUGUUUUGUUGGGGUGAUGGGAGGAAUGUUUUUAACUCCUCUUUGUUUUUAUAUAUUGAUUUAUAUUUUUUUGAUCCAUUUAUUUUGAUUAUAAGAUUAAAUUACCUUAGGGAUAACAGCGUUAUCUUCCUUGAGAGUUCUUAUUGGCGGGGAGGUUUGCG
rnacentral:rRNA from 1 species